rnacentral:misc_RNA from 1 species
GAUUUUUGGGAUGGAAUCUUCUCCAUUUUUCAGUUUGAGAUGAGUAAAUCUCCAUUUCAAGACCAUCAAAAGCCACUUCUAUAUCAGACAAAUGUACAAGGACAACUUGAUAGUGAAGCCCAUCAAUGGCUAAGCCACACCUGAUAAUGCCCCUCGUAAUGGCAGGGUGGGGCAGAGGAAAAAACUGCCCGGGCAUGGGGUUUGGUAUUUGAGCUCAAGCUCUCCAAUACUAGCUAACAGAAGAAAGCCCUUGCAUGAAGAAAUAACUUGUACAUAAUUUUCCGUGCAGAAACUGAGGGAACGAUCGAUGUCGACAGCUCCACUUUUAUCACCAAUAUGCAGAAAAAUAAACUGGGAUGAUCCAUCUUCAAACUGGUAUUGACAAAGAAGACCAUUUCUGGCAGUGUUGGACUCACCUGCAGCCAUCCUGAUCCUCCUGGAACUGUUUUGAUCCAUCCUUUCUCUCUUUUGGGUACAGAGGAACCUUCUUAAAACCUCGCUCAGGAUAAUGAUCAGAUUCCUGUGAAAUGGUUUCUCGAUAAAAAGAAAAGGAG